UUUCCGUAGGUGAACCUGCGGAAGGAUCAUUAUCGUAAAACCGAGGUGCGAGGGCUGUCGCUGACCUUUUCGGUCGUGCACGCCCGAGCGCUCUCACACAAUCCAUCUCACCCCUUGUGCACCACCGCGUGGGUCCCUUUCUGGCUCGUCCGGAGGGGGGGCUCGCGUUUUCACACAAACUUGAAGUAGUGUAGAAUGUCCUUUUUUUGCGAUAACACGCAAUCAAUACAACUUUCAACAACGGAUCUCUUGGCUCUC
rnacentral:misc_RNA from 1 species